rnacentral:lncRNA from 1 species
GGAAAUGCGUACGGAGAGAGUGGUAGUCGUUGACCAUUUUGGAGAGUAGCUGCUUUAGCCUCUCAUUCUCUUCUUUCACGCUCCCCAUCUCCGCUUCCGCCAAUCUGAUCAUCUCCUCCUCCAUACCCUCCUCAUCGGCCUGCAGUGUAGAGAGCACUAUUUUUCGUUACAAAAAAAAAAAUUCUAAAAAAACGGUAAAUAAUCGCGGGGUUGCUAAGUUUCAGCCUGUAUACUUAUUUAAGCAGAUCAGAGUUUCGGAACUCACCUGGAUGAUGAUGGUGUUUCGUCUUGAUCGGUCGUCCUGCAGGAAAUGGAGGGUCUCUAGCUCAUGGGUUUCAGAGGAAGAUGAGUUUUUCUUGGGGGAAUCCAUUGUUAUGGAUAUAGAGAGAGAGAGAGAAGAGAGAGAUGGGGUUUGUUUGUUUGUUG